GAUCCUGGCUCAGGAUGAACGCUGGCGGCGUGCUUAACACAUGCAAGUUGCGCGGUGAUCUCAAGAAGUUUCGGACGGAAAGGGAGAGCAGCAGCGGACGGGUGAGUAAAGCACAAGGACUUGUCCCGAAGAGGGGGACAACUGUGGGAAACCACAGCUAAUACCCCAUAGGCCGAGAGGUGAAAGCAGCGAUGCGCUUUAGGAGAGACUUGUGUCCUAUCAGGUAGUUGGUGAGGUAACGGCUCACCAAGCCGAAGACGGGUAGCCGGACUGAGAGGUUGUACGGCCACAUUGGAACUGAGAGACGGUCCAGACUCCUACGGGAGGCAGCAGUGGGGAAUAUUGGGCAAUGGGGGCCAACCCUGACCCAGCGACGCCGCGUGAGGGAAGACAGCCUUCGGGUUGUAAACCUCUGUUGCAGGGGAAGAAGAAAGUGACGGUACCCUGCGAGGAAGCUCCGGCAAACUACGUGCCAGCCGCCGC
rnacentral:rRNA from 1 species